AUUGAACGCUGGCGGCAUGCUUUACACAUGCAAGUCGAACGGCAGCGCGGGCUUCGGCCUGGCGGCGAGUGGCGAACGGGGGAGUAAUGCAUCUGAACGUGCCCAGCAGUGGGGGAUAGCCCGGCGAAAGCCGGAGUAAUACCGCAGACGACCUGAGGGUGAAAGCGGGGGACCGAAAGGCCGCGCGCUAUUGGAGCGGCCGAUGUCGGAUUAGCUAGUUGGUGGGGGAAAGGCUUACCAAGGCGGCGAUCCGUAGCUGGUCUGAGUGGACGACCGGCCACACUGGGACUGAGACACGGCCCAGACUCCUACGGGAGGCAGCAGUGGGGUAUUUUGGACAAUGGGGGCAAACCUGGUCCAGCCAUCCCGCGUGCGGGAAGACGGCCUUCGGGUUGUAAACCGCUUUUGUUCGGGAAGAAAUGCUCUGGGCUAAUACCCCGGGGGGAUGACGGUACCGGAAGAAUAAGCACCGGCUAACUACGUG
rnacentral:rRNA from 1 species